UACGAGGGGGCAAGCGUUGUUCGGAAUUAUUGGGCGUAAAGGGCGCGUAGGCGGUUUGACAAGUCUGAUGUGAAAUCUAUGGGCUCAACCCAUAGCCUGCAUUAGAAACUGUCGGGCUUGAGUAUGGGAGAGGUGAGUGGAAUUUCCGGUGUAGCGGUGAAAUGCGUAGAUAUCCGGAGGAACACCGGUGGCGAAGGCGGCUUCCUGGACCGACACUGACGCUGAGGCGCGAAAGCUAGGGGAGCAAACGGG
rnacentral:rRNA from 1 species